rnacentral:rRNA from 1 species
UCCUGGCCGUAAACGCUGUGAGCUAGGUGUUGCGUCAGCGACCUGCUGGCGCAGUGUCGAAAUGAAGAUGUUAAGCUCACCGCCUGGGAAGUACGGUCGCAAGACUGAAACUUUAAGGAAUUGGCGGGGGAGCACCACAAGGGGCGCGGCGUGCGGUUUAAUCUAACUCAACGCAGAAAACCUCACUAGGGGCGACGGCAGGAUGAAGAUCAGCUUGAAGAGCUUAUCUGACA